GUUUUUGUAGUUGAAGUACAACGGUGGUUUUUCAAGCCAUUAGUCUUGGUGAGAGUCCGAGCAGAAAUU
rnacentral:tRNA from 1 species